ACAGAAUGGAUAUGCAGCCUUGCACAUGACCCACCACAAAUCACCAUCGAGGGACAGACUUUGGAGACAGUUGAGCACUUCUGCUACCUUCGUAGCCAACUCUCUCAAAACGCAAAAAUUGACCGUCAGAUCGAGCACAGGAACC